rnacentral:misc_RNA from 1 species
GUGAAUCAUCAAAUCUUUGAACGCAAAUUGCACUUUCUGGUAUUCCGGAAAGUAUGCCUGUUUGAGGGUCAGUUAAAUAAAAACGGUGUUGUUGUUGCAUUUCGUGGUGACGCGUCGGGAUUUAGUUGUCUUAGCUUCGGGUAAGUGACCUAAAAUUUUGCAUGAUUUUCGAACGUAUUUAAAUUUCUUAAGUAUGUUUGAGAUAUCGAAAUCUUUUUUAGGUUCGGUUAUCCUUAUGCUUUGUACCUAUA